CCACUUUUUUUUAUUUUACCCUCUAAACCUCAUCCUUUAAACCACUAAUUUCCAUUCUUUUCACCACCACUUGAUAUCAUUCUCCACAACCAAACCACCAUUUCACUGCCGUUGAACCACCAUCACACCACCGCCAUUAGUCACCGUUUUUCAUUGAUUUUCAUUUUCUCUUCACUUCUUUAGUGAUAAUUGUUCUACUAAUCCUCC
rnacentral:lncRNA from 1 species